CGAGGAGAGAAUCGGAUGAGAUUCCCAGUGAUUUUCUGUCGAGACCGCAUGCUUGGAUGCAUUGAUCAGUUUCGAUCCAGUUUCUUAAUCUAUCAGCUUCAAUUUCGGAAGUACGGCAAGUGAAUGAUUCUUCUCCGCUCCUUUUGACGUGCUUCUCAAGUACGCAGCGCUUGCCGGUGGAUGAGAUUGCGUAAGAACAUGUUUCUUGGUCCAGAUGCUCGCAUCUUAUUUCUCCUAGAGUGCCUUGCGCACAGAGAACAAGGGCAAAAGCCAGGACAGCCAGGGUCUUGAAGCAAGCCAUAGGCACAGUUUUAAUGGGAAAUAAAUAAUAGCAAACUUAGGAUACAAAUUUGCUAACAACUUUGUGCUUGGCCUGCUAGGAGCUUGAUUC
rnacentral:misc_RNA from 1 species